rnacentral:rRNA from 1 species
AUUGAACGCUGGCGGCAGGCCUAACACAUGCAAGUCGAACGAGUGGCGGACGGGUGAGUAAUGUCUGGGAAACUGCCUGAUGGAGGGGGAUAACUACUGGAAACGGUAGCUAAUACCGCAUACAAUCAGAUGUGCCCAGAUGGGAUUGGCUGGUUGGUGGGGUAAAGGCUCACAAAGGCGACGAUCCCUAGAUGGUCUGAGAGGAUGACCAGCCACACUGGAACUGAGACACGGUCCAGACUCCUACGGUCGGCAGCAGUGGGGAAUAUUGCACAAUGGGCGCAAGCCUGAUGCAGCCAUGCCGCGUGUAGGAAGAAGGCCUUCGGUUUGUAAAGUACUUUCAGCGGGGAGGCGUUACCCGCAGAAGAAGCACCGGCUAACUCCGUGCCAGCAGCCGCGGUAAUUC